CCGCUCAUUAAACAAACGCCUCGAUGACGUCAGGAAGUAUCGCGGGACCAUCGAAAAUCAAUCGUCGCGGCUGGGAAACACCAUCGCAAGUUAUCGAUCGAUUCCUCGAUCGUUCGCUACGUCACUGGUUUUUCAUUGUACGUACGGUCUAACUCUUUCUACUUGCCGCUUAGUUGCAGGAACGUGGUCCGGUUCGAAGGUCUGUUUCUACUGCCGUCGCUGCACACGCGUCGGAUAGUAGAACAAACUGCGCGCAACCAGACCAACUUUCCGUCGACGGAUUUACUCCGAUUAAUUGGUCGCUCUUCGAACGCGAUUCUGCUUUCAGACUUCAAAUGUUCCGAGAAUGAACAUUUGACGGCAGGUGGAGAGUCUCCUCGAUUUCUGGCCGAGCGAAGAGAACGCGGAGGAGAGGCUGCUAGCAUUCAUUAAACAAACGCCUCGAUGACGUCAAGAAUAACCGCGCUCCCCUUGAAAAGUACUCACGUAAUUCACGCCUGGGAAUAUUAUUGAUUCUCGACGCAUCCGCGUAUCGUCCGAGUUACUGGAGCAGAGAUACGUCUUUAAGAAGGCUUUUUAGACCGAAUCGAGAAUCGUGGUUGACUUUGAUAUUAAAUAUAUUCAGAACGUGAAUUAAAUUAUGUAAUUGAUUUCAAUUUGAAGAUUCACGGAAUUGAGAAGGCUUUGC
rnacentral:misc_RNA from 1 species